rnacentral:piRNA from 1 species
GGCUUUGAAAUGCAACGAGCUAAGUGGAAU